UGACAAUUCGCAAAGUCCAUUCAUAACUAGAGCCAUCAUGAGGUGCCUAUCGAUGAUGUUCCUAGUAUUAGUGAUUCUAGUCAUUGGUACCGAGGCAACAGAUGAAGAUAGUUCCAAAAAUCCUAUAAAAACCGCAGACUGGAACUACUAUGACAAGGACAAAUUUGCAGCGUAUGGAGAACGGCUCAGUUUGCGAGCAAAAUGUGGAAUGAAAUACCGUGCAUGCAGAAGACUAGCACUAUAUGAUUAUGUGGCAGGGCAAUAUGACAAACAUUGCUGUUGGCCAUUUCUGCGAGAACCCUGGCUGCCCAGAAGGAUAGAUGUUUCUAAUCCUGUCAUCGAAUCUACUGGAAUAAGAAGAAGGACAUAAGAACGAAUAACUAAAUUUUAUACGGAUUGUUCAAUAAUCAAUUGAAAACAAGUUUUCGAAAAAAAAUCAGAGCACUUAAACAAGUUAAGCAAUAAAACUUUUGACAGUA